ensembl:lncRNA
GGGCAUCAACAGGAAAAGGGGCACAAAGACAUACUUUUCUUUCUUAUUCUCAUUUAAAAUAUGUAGCUUUUAAUAAAUAAUUAUCUGAAUCUUACACCCAAAGUUUUAAUCUGGGUGCACUGGACCUAUAAAGACAGGUGGUCGGGUUUUUGUGCUGGACCACACACGCUGGACACGACGCAUGAAAGAGGCAAUAGAUGAUCUGCUGCAAAAGUACCAUGGGAAGAAGGACAUCCUGAAGCUUGUGGAUCAAGAUUAUGCAGACAUGGUCCAUGGUUCUGCUGCAGAUCCCAACAGCCUGCUGCAUCCCACAUCCAAGGUGCACAUAUCCCGUUAUGUGAAGCACUUGGCUAAGCUUCUCAACACCAAUUCAUCUUUGAACACAAGCCCAGAAAAACUUCUGGAGACUCAGCAGCUGUGGCACUCAUUAACGGAAGGCAGUGAAACAACUAGUGUUCCCGUAGUCACCAUAGAGCCUGCCGUCUUUAACCCGCCUCCUCCUGCCCUGUCUGCACCACUGACUCAAUAGAGAAGAUUGUGGAGGGCAUCUUAGAAAAGCAACAGCAGCAGCAGCCUGAGGGAAAAAGAAGGCAGACAAAGACUUGUCUUGCCUGUGGACAGCCCAAGUCUCAAUAUGAGACACACGGAUCCACCGUCCACUAUUUUUUUACCAGAGAGGGCCUGUGCUCUAUUUCUAUUGUUCCAACAAGGUGCAUCAAACUUAUGCUGCUGAGGGAAUCAGUAACCCGAAAAUGCCCUUUGAGGAAUUUGCCCAGACAGAAUUUUUCCAAAGGGAUCUGGAUGCUACCAGGAAGAGGUCAGAGGAAAGGAUGGAGAAAAAGAGGAAAAGGCCAGAAACCCAACAAACAGGCCGCCUCUGCAGGUUCUGCCACAUGGACCUGAAACAGGGACCAAAUAGCCCACAUGUUCAUACGGGUUUCCCUGGAGUGGCAGGGAAAUAUAUCUACUGCCCUUCAAAAGUGCACUCUGUACAGGGACAAGGGCAUGGCCAAGGAGAUGACCUGGAAGGAGUUUCAGGAGUCUCCUUUCUGUGAGGCAGAGAGACAAAGAUGGGUGGAAGAAAAAAGGAAAUAGGGGAGAAACAGUUUAUAUUGUAAAUAAGAUAGUUUUGUUCUAGUUUCGUAAUGUUUAUUUUGUUUAUAUAAAUAAAAACUGAUUGUAAAUAUAAAAUCUAAAUAAAUUGUCUUCUGUAAAAGCACAGCUCUCUUCUUUAUAACCUCUUAGAGUUCACCUGUAUGUUUAUAUAUCUGUGUAAGCUUACCAUCAGGUAAUCAGUUUUAAAAAGUUGUGAGUGCUGCCCUGAAAGCUUACAUAUUAAUUCUAAAUCACUUCAUGUAAUGAUAACAAGCCAUCCUUUCUCUAGUGGCGUCUCACAGCUUUUGUCUUUAUAAUCUUUCUGCUUGAUUUAUAUCAUUAGAAACAUGACUGAUGUCUUUUAUCUGUGUGACUGUACAGCCUGUUUCAGACAUGACAACCAGACAGUGUCUGAAGUUAUCUUUAAUACAUGCAACACAGCUGGAGGUAGUCCAGACACUUUCUCACUUCUGGUGAUAAUAUUUUUGGUUUAGGUAUUGUUGCUUGCUGGCUUGAAGCUUAUCUACAAAAACAGUUCAAUAAGGAAAGAUCAUGUGGAAAAAAAAAAAACCAACAUGAUUUAUUGAGAUACAGAAAUAAAUGUAACUGUUAGGCACUUAGACUCCAAUGACCCAUCAUAGCAGAAGGAAUCUCAGCAGUGGCAGGAUUUUGCACAAGCCCCACCCCAGAGUCAACAUGCUGGUAGUGAUGAAGAUGGAGGCUGGGACAGGGUUCCAAGUGACCACGGUGAGGAGGAGAAAGGAGAGGAGGCGGGCUGCAUGGCUGAGGAUCUGAAACGCAGAAUAGCAACAGAUUUAAAGCAUGCAGAGUGGAGGCUGAGUUGCUUGGAGAAGGCAGGCAAGAGCAUAACUGGAAGAAAGUAAUGAAGCCAGUACUGAUUUGUGCUGGAAAAUGAAUGUGCUUUCAACACCAUCAGGCCGACCCUCCUGGGUGAUAAGUUAACAGCGAUGCAGGUGGAUGCUUCUCUGGUGUCCUGGAUUGUUGAUUACCUGACAGGAAGACCACAAUAUGUACGUCUCC